rnacentral:rRNA from 1 species
GACGAACGCUGGCGGCGUGCUUAACACAUGCAAGUCGAACGGAAAGGCCCUGCUUUUGUGGGGUGCUCGAGUGGCGAACGGGUGAGUAACACGUGAGUAACCUGCCCUUGACUUUGGGAUAACUUCAGGAAACUGGGGCUAAUACCGGAUAGGAGCGCCUGCUGCAGGGUGGGGGUUGGAAAGUUUCGGCGGUUGGGGAUGGACUCGCGGCUUAUCGGCUUGUUGGUGGGGUAGUGGCUUACCAAGGCUUUGACGGGUAGCCGGCCUGAGAGGGUGACCGGCCACAUUGGGACUGAGAUACGGCCCAGACUCCUACGGGAGGCAGCAGUGGGGAAUAUUGCACAAUGGGCGGAAGCCUGAUGCAGCAACGCCGCGUGCGGGAUGACGGCCUUCGGGUUGUAAACCGCUUUCGCCUGUGACGAAGCGUGAGUGACGGUAAUGGGUAAAGAAGCACCGGCUAACUACGUG